UCAGAUCUCAUCGGGGUAGCAGCUGCAACUCAUCGCUUAUUGCCUGACGGUCCAGUCCUGACGCUGUUUGGAUUGUAUUUUCACUGCAAUACGGCGAAUAAAGGAUCAGCAGUCUUCAACAUCUCUUGUCUUGGUGUUCUCCUGCGGGUCUUUGACAUCAGAGUGCUAAUUGGGUUGGAGGUUCGGAAAGUGGAUACUUUUUCCACGACAUUAGUUUGGCAUGUUCUAAGACACGAGCUAGUAGUGUGUGUGAGAUGAAAGUGGAACCCUUUCUCUCGUGGUUGGUGACCGAAAACGUUGGCUAUGUUGUGCCUCUCUUAACUGAAAUGUUGUUUUCUGUAGCCCACACUACUAAAUUUGGAGGCAGUAACCUGAAGGGGAAGGAGAAGCUGCCACUGCUCGGAAGCCGGAGUAUGCAGCACAAUAAAACGCCCGGCGGCAGCAGUAGGAGGAGGGGAGGAGGAGGAGCAGCAGCACAUCAAGUCAUCGGCAGGAACUCCCAAAUUAAAUUUAAAUAAAUUGUGUAAUCAAA